UGAGGCAGAAAGGAAAUAGCAAGCAGCACACGAUUGUUUCCAAGUGAGAGGGUUCCUGGUAGAGAGCCAGGCGCUGAUGCCCUGGCUGCGUUGCAGUCGAUGGAGCUGCGCUGGGGCCGUGUGCUUCUCACUGUGGCACAUCUUUUUAUUUUCCCUUGAACUAGAGAAUUUGCCUGAAGUAUGGAUGAGUCACAGAUACCAUACUUCCUCUUCUCUGAAGCACAUUUACAUUUUUGAAGAAUUACAACUGACAACAAUCAGCCAUACUUCCAAAAUAUCCUUUCAGGGAGGAGAAAGGAGGAACAGUGAUGCUGAAAUCAGCCCGAAAGGAUUUAUCAGAAUAUAUUUAUUUAUUCAUGGGUCCCAGUGCCAGUGGCAGUUUUUUCCCCAGGAUUUAGCAACCUAAAGCACAAUCCCUGCCCUCUGUUCAAGAGCCAGGAAUAGUGGAAAUGCAAGUGAGUACCAGCAAUCAGCUGUCCAACCACCUCUGACCAUAAGCUUGUUCAAAGUGGCACAUGGUUGAAAAGCAGCAGGCCGCGUCUUAUCUACGCUACAUUUUCUUCUUGACAAUGCUGGAGUUAUAAUGUGGGAAGUCUGAAGAAGAUAAAACCAAAAUAGACAAGAGAAAUCAGUUUUUCUCCUGGGAUUUAAACCAAGAGGAUCUACUACUGCCAAUUACUGUUGUCAUGCCAGAGUAACUUGAUAUAAACCAGUGGGGUAACAGACAGUGAAAACAGAUAGUUACAGAGGAGAGAGGAGAGAGGAGAGAGGAGAGAAGCCUAGGACUCUCCUGUUCACAAAGACUUUGUCACAACCACUUGUCCGUUGUCUUUGUCAUCUCACUUGCACUAGUGCUGUGAAAGCUAGUCAGGUGCUGGGACAGGAAGGAUGGGACCCUGGCAGUCAGACAUGAGAGGUGGAGCUGGAGCAAAGGCUCACGCAAUACAGCACAGCAAGGCUCGAGUUAGAGAUGGCCACAUCAGCACAGAGGAAUACCAAACUCCCAGGAGUGACAGCCAAGCUGUUUGACAGGGUUCACUUCCACGUACUGAGGAGUCCAAGAUAAAAGUGGCCUUCAACCUACCCUGCUUCAUUGCUCCUCUCAGCCUCCUUGAUGCUGAUAUGUCUGUGUCCUGUACCUCUAGCUUCUCCUGCCCUGGUUCUUUGGAGAACACCAUGCCUUCUCCCAGAAGGCACACCAGGUGGCUUAGCAGCCAGGAUGAGCUUUUGUGGCUGAGGUUGCUUUGCAUGAUACCAAGUCACGGGGUGGUAUUUACCAUUGCAUCCCUUUGUAAACAGUGUCACCUUGACAGGUGGUUUUCCUGCACUACUUUUUGGAGCACCGACACCCCUGAGGUGUCAGCUUACAGUCUGGUCAGUUCUUACUUUUCCAGCAGUGCUUAUCUGUGGUGCACUGAUGUUCUGCUACUGCUGGCCAGAUUCACAAUAGGAUUCUUUACGAAGUAGAAUGAGGGAUGUGCUCCAUUUGCCUCCUUUAAUUAGGUCUACCACUUCUGACACACACCUACAAGUGUGUCUGUGUGUAUGUGCAAUCCUGAAUGAAUUCCUGCUUAUAAUGUGCACCAAAGGCGUCCUUUUUCACUAGGGGAAAAGAGCCUCCACUCAUGACCCCAGUUCUUUGGAACAAUUUUUGAAGUGUUAAAUUCUGUCUUCAAUUCUACUUUGGAAUAAAUUCAAAGUCUUUCAAAGGAAAAGAUGAGGUUUUCAGUUCAUGCUGUCUCUGAAGAAAUGGUUAGACACCACCUUAAAACUUCAAGACCUUCUGUUACAAUCUUUAUCAAAAUCUGUAUAUUUUGAGGAAGUAUUCUUGCUUUGAGUUAAUUAGCAUUUUAAUAAAAUGGCUGAAAACUGAAACUUUUUUAUUCAUGGUGCACAUCAAUCAAAGUAUGUUUAGGAUAUCUGUUUACACUCUGUGCUUGUUAUGAGUUUAAAGAUCGCAAAGAUGGGCAAAUGUUUUAACACUUCAGAUUGAGAGACUUUUUGAACUUCCUGCUCUGCACAAACCCUGUUCUUCCCAUUCAAGUGGAAAAAGUAAUGCAGUGAUUAACAAAUGUCCAUCUGAAACUGGGAUAUCUCCCUACAGACGGCAAAGGUUUCAGGAAGUGCUGUUUCCAGUAAUUGAAUAUGGUGAUAUAAUUUAUAACUGCUCAGCCGCAACUUUGCACAAAUCAGACAAAAUGCUCCUGAUUGCUUAGAUUAUCUUUUUAUCACAACACCACAAUCUUCUGACCAAAGAUGACAUUUCUCCUUUUAUUUAUAGCCUUUCAGGAGGCAAAAGGUUUCCGAGAUCUGGAAUUGCUUGGCUUCUUACAUCACUGCCAGUCUGAUGGGCUGUCCUUCAGGCUGCAGCACUUGCAGCACCAAACAUCCUGUUGCUAAAUCAACUGUAUUGUGAUGCAGGGAUACAUGCAAUUUUUGCAGGUAUACACACAUGAGUACGUGCCCACACAUACAAGACAACAAUUUGAUGGUGUUCUCUGUUGGAAAGAGAUGGUUUUCUUUUUUGUUUGAGUUUUUUUAAUCUGAAUUAAUAAAGCAAAUCCUAUAGAAUAA